rnacentral:rRNA from 1 species
AGGGAAAGUUGAAAAGCACUUUGAAGAGAGAGUUCAAGAGUACGUGAAACCGUUCAGGGGUAAACCUGAGAAACCCGAAAGGUCGAAAGGGGAAAUUCAUUCGCGUUUCGAUUGUUAACGUAGAGUGGUUGUGUGACGGAACGGCUUCGGUUUGUACGCACCUACCGUUUUGCGAUUGGCGUCGAACGCGUGCACUUUUCCCCUAGUAGGACGUCGCGAUCCGUUGGGCGUCGGUCUAAGGCUCGCGGUGGAGCCCUGCUGUUAGUUUACUAACGGUAGGACCCGUGGUGUUUCCCGACCGGCUCGCUCGACGGUAUACAGAUGGCGCGGAGCCGCGACUCAGUUCGCGUUCGACCCGGGGCAAGCGCGUUCGUAGUUUCGGCGAUCGGACCUAGUGCCGGUUCUGGACUCGAAUGACUGUUGGCCUCGGAGUUCUCGAACAGACUCUGUGAAACGCCGAUCUGCGGCGCUAUAGCUUUGGGUACUUUCAGGACCCGUCUUGAAACACGGACCAAGGAGUCUAGCAUGUGCGCGAGUCAUUGGGACAUAACUAAACCUAAAGGCGCAAUAAAAGUAAAGGUCAGCCUUGCGUUGACCGAGGGAGGAUGAGCGGUUUGCCCUUAAAGUGGCCGCUCCGCACUCCCGGGGCGUCUCAUUCUCAUUGCGAGAAGAGGCGCACCAAGAGCGUACACGCUGGGACCCGAAAGAUGGUGAACUAUGCCUGGUCAGGAUGAAGUCAGGGGAAACCCUGAUGGAGGUCCGUAGCGAUUCUGACGUGCAAAUCGAUCGUCGGAACUGGGUAUAGGGGCGAAAGACUAAUCGAACCUUCUAGUACUUUAGUGA